rnacentral:sRNA from 1 species
AUUGUUAAAACAUGAAUUCUUGAAUAAGUUUUAGCAAUGAUCGGUUGUAAUAUGACAAACUAUAUGGUCUUUACAGUUGUCUCGUGCAUUAUUUUGUUAGGCCAUCUCCAACGGAACUGCAAAACUUUAAAAUAGUGUGGGAAUGUUAAUUUUUUCUCUCCAACCAAACUGUAUAAUUUACACUAUUAUAGUGUGAUUCCUUUUUUUUCAACAGUAUAUCACUAUAUUUGGUGUGUCACUGUAGACAACGGCAAAAGAUAGAAUAUUAUUAUUUUUU